AAUUCUGAGUCAGAGGAGCUAAAUGUCUGCUGGCUUCCUGACUCACGAAGGUCAGUUUGAGACCAGGCGCGGUGGCUCAUGCCUGUAAUUCCAACUCUUUAGGAGGCCAAGGUAGGCGAAUUAGGAUUUCAGGACCAGCAACGUGGUGAAACCCUGUCUCUACAAAAUACAAAAAUUAGCUGGGCAUGAUGGCUGGUGCCUGUAAUCCCAGCUAGUCGGGAGACUGAGGCAAGAGAAUUGCUUGAACCCAGAAGGCAGAGGUUGCAGUAAGCCAAGAUCACGCCAUUGCACUCCAGCCUGGACGACAGAGAGAGACUCCAUCUCAAAAAAAAAUAAAAAUUAAUUAAUUAAAAAUCAGUUUGAUUGGUGAGGAGGUGUGAAGGUCAGGAAUGAUCUGGAGGCAGAUCUGAGUGAGUGGAGUUUGGGAGGUCCUCUGAUUAACCCUGGACAAUGGGCAUCUCCACUAAAUAAGCCAGAGGACCUCUGAGUUGAGACAGAGGUGAAGAAGGGAGGAUACUAGUGCGAGCUGCCCAAGAGAAGUUCCCCAUUUCCCCACUCUGGGGUGGAAUGCAGCUGCUGUGUGGGAAACAACCAUUCUCCCUGCCCGCUGCAAACUAGGGCACACCCUUUGCAGUCCAGAGUCCGCACCCUCCUGGUGUGAGCUAUGGAAAGGGUGCCCAUCCCCUGCCCUACCAACCAGAUUCCAAGUCUCGGAAAUUGAUCUGACAGUUUGGAAACUCCAGCUGCAUCCCCAGGAAUGCAGAUAAGGAAACUCAGUCCCAGAGAGGUGAAGUGGGCUGCCUGAGGUCACACAGAGGGUAAGAGGCCGAGCAAGAUCUGGAAACAGGGCUCCUGGCUCUGUACCCAGUGCUCUCUGCUCUGAAUGAGGGGGUUGGGGUGGGGAUGGUGAUCUAGAUGUGGCUAUGGGAAGCCAAAGAGAAGAGAACUGUGCCAGAGCUGGAGGCAGGUUCAGAGCUGGCAUCGUGGGUGGGAGUCAUCUACCUACACCUG
rnacentral:lncRNA from 1 species